AAAAUACUCCCUCCGUCCAAAAUUCUUGUCUUAGAUUUAGCUAAAUAUGAAUGUAUCAAGUCACGUUUUAAUAUUUAGAUACAUCCAUUUCUAUACAAACCUAAGACAAGAAUUUCGAGACGAAGGGAGUAUGCA
rfam:Hordeum vulgare subsp. vulgare, WGS project CAJW01000000 data, contig: morex_contig_1562691